GAUGAACGCUAGCGACAGGCUUAACACAUGCAAGUCGAGGGGCAUCACGGGAGUAGCAAUACAACUGGUGGCGACCGGCGCACGGGUGAGUAACGCGUAUGCAACCUACCUAUCAGAGGGGAAUAACCCGGCGAAAGUCGGACUAAUACCGCAUAAAACAGGGGCACCGCAUGGUGAUAUUUGUUAAAGAAAUUCGCUGAUAGAUGGGCAUGCGUUCCAUUAGGUAGUUGGUGAGGUAACGGCUCACCAAGCCGACGAUGGAUAGGGGAACUGAGAGGUUGGUCCCCCACACUGGUACUGAGACACGGACCAGACUCCUACGGGAGGCAGCAGUGAGGAAUAUUGGUCAAUGGGCGGGAGCCUGAACCAGCCAAGUCGCGUGAAGGAAGAAGGAUCUAUGGUUCGUAAACUUCUUUUGCAGGGGAAUAAAGUGCGGGACGUGUCCUGUUUUGUAUGUACCCUGAGAAUAAGGAUCGGCUAACUCCGUGCCAGCAGCCGCGGUAAAG
rnacentral:rRNA from 1 species